rnacentral:rRNA from 1 species
GAUGAACGCUGGCGGCGUGCCUAAUACAUGCAAGUCGAGCGCUCAGGCGAGGAGCUUGCUCCUCGGACGUUAGCGGCGGACGGGUGAGUAACACGUGGAUAACCUACCUUUAAGACUGGGAUAACUUCGGGAAACUGGAGCUAAUACCGGAUAAGAUAUUGAACCGCAUGGUUCUAUAGUGAAAGGCGGUUUUGCUGUUACUUAUAGCUCGAUCCUCGCCGCCUUAGCUAGUUGGUAAGGUAACGCCUUACCAAGGCAAGGAUGCGUAGCCGACGUGGGAGGGUGAUAGGCCACACGGGAGGUGGAACACGGUCAAGACGACUACGGGAGGCACCAGUAGGGAACCGGCCGCAAGGGGGGAAAGCCUGACGGAGCAACGCGGCGUGAGGGACGAAGGUCUUCGGAUCGUAAAACUCUGUUAUUAGGGAAGAACAAAUGUGUAAGUAAAUAUGCACGUCGUGACGGUACCUAAUCAGAAAGCCACGGCUAACUACGUG